CGGGAGGCAGCAGUGAGGAAUAUUGGUCAAUGGACGAGAGUCUGAACCAGCCAAGUAGCGUGCAGGAUGACGGCCCUAUGGGUUGUAAACUGCUUUUAUAAGGGAAUAAAGUGAGUCUCGUGAGACUUUUUGCAUGUACCUUAUGAAUAAGGACCGGCUAAUUCCGUGCCAGCAGCCGCGGUAAUACGGAAGGUCCGGGCGUUAUCCGGAUUUAUUGGGUUUAAAGGGAGCGUAGGCCGGAGAUUAAGCGUGUUGUGAAAUGUAGACGCUCAACGUCUGCACUGCAGCGCGAACUGGUUUCCUUGAGUACGCACAAAGUGGGCGGAAUUCGUGGUGUAGCGGUGAAAUGCUUAGAUAUCACGAAGAACUCCGAUUGCGAAGGCAGCUCACUGGAGCGCAACUGACGCUGAAGCUCGAAAGUGCGGGUAUCGAACAGGAUUAGAUACCCUGGUAGUCCGCACGGUAAACGAUGGAUGCCCGCUGUUGGUCUGAAUAGGUCAGCGGCCAAGCGAAAGCAUUAAGCAUCCCACCUGGGGAGUACGCCGGCAACGGUGCAACUCAAAGGAAUUGACGGA
rnacentral:rRNA from 1 species